AUGGGGAGAUUCAUCGUCGACGAAGCCGGCUCCCGUUGGUGCGCGAUACCCCGAACGGGCCUUAACGGUUCCAAGGCGAGGGUACACCACUUUCGGCGAACGUUCCGGCGACGUAGUCGUGCACUUCUCCCUUAGUAGAACGUCGCGACCCGUUGUGCGCCGGUCUACGGCCUGGGCUCAUUGCCUGUCGCGGCGCCUUCGUACGCUCGCGGCAGAGGCUCGGUCGCCCGGCCGGCUGCACGACGGUACUCUGACGGUAUCGGGCCGCAACCAAUCCAUUCUCGAAUGUGUGUGCGUCGAACCCGCCGCAAGCUCGGACAGAUUUACCCGGAGUGUGCGGACACAGAGCCCUCCCCGGGUCUGGCCAGCUGUUGGCAGGCGGUGUUCUUGGACUGGCCAAGCUUUGAAUUACCGGUCAGCGACGCUACUGCUUUGGGUACUCUCAGGACCCGUCUUGAAACACGGACCAAGGAGUCUAACAUGUGCGCGAGUCAUUGGGACACGUAAACCUAAAGGCGCAAUGAAAGUGAAAGUCGGACCUCAGCGUCGACCAAGGGAGGAUGGGCCGCUUACGUCCCGGCCCCGCACUCCCGGGGCGUCUCGUUCUCAAUACGAGAAGAGGCGCACCCAGAGCGUACACGUUGGGACCCGAAAGUGGGUGAACUA
rnacentral:rRNA from 1 species